GACGAACGCUGGCGGCGUGCUUAACACAUGCAAGUCGAACGGAAAGACGCCUUCGGGGGUACUCGAGUGGCGCAGGGGUGCGUAACAGUUUCGUAACCUGCCCUUGCCUUCGGGAUAACUUCAGGAAACUGGGGCUAAUACCGGAUAGGAAUCCUUGCUGCAUGUUGUGGGUUGAAAAGCUUCGGCGGUUUUGGGUGUCCUGGCGACUUAUCAGCUUGUUGGUGGGGUAGUGGCUUACCAAGGCUUUGACGGGUAGCCGGACUGCGAGGGCGACCGGCGAUACUGGGACUGAGAGAAGGCAGAGACGGGGACGGGAGGGAGAAGGGGGGAAGACUGAACAAGGGGCGGAAGGUGGAUGAAGAAGCGCCGCGGGUGGGAAGACGGUCUUCGGGGGGAAAAACGGUUGCAGAAGGGGCGAAGCUUGUGGUGACGGUACCUGAAGAAGAAGCAACGGCUAACUACGUG
rnacentral:rRNA from 1 species